rnacentral:rRNA from 1 species
CCAGACUCCUACGGGAGGCAGCAGUGAGGAAUAUUGGUCAAUGGUCGGGAGACUGAACCAGCCAAGCCGCGUGAGGGAUGAAGGUACAGAGUAUCGUAAACCUCUUUUGUCAGGGAACAAAGGCGGGGACGUGUCCCCGGAUGAGUGUACCUGAAGAAAAAGCAUCGGCUAACUCCGUGCCAGCAGCCGCGGUAAUACGGAGGAUGCGAGCGUUAUCCGGAUUUAUUGGGUUUAAAGGGUGCGUAGGCGGAAGGCCAAGUCAGCGGUAAAAUCGGGGGGCUCAACCUCGCUCCGCCGUUGAAACUGGCAGACUUGAGUUGGCGAGAAGUACGCGGAAUGCGCGGUGUAGCGGUGAAAUGCAUAGAUAUCGCGCAGAACUCCGAUUGCGAAGGCAGCGUACCGGCGCCACACUGACGCUGAGGCACGAAAGCGUGGGGAUCGAACAGGAUUAGAUACCCUUGUA